rnacentral:lncRNA from 1 species
AUUCCCACAUUGUUGUUAUGGCUCAGAAAAGUCCUAGUCUCCACUUUGGAAUUGUCCCAUGGAUCCAUAGCACAGGCUUGUGGAUUUGGGGAGUGUAGCCAAAUCUUUGCCUUUUCAAGAUGGAUUAUGAUUUUCCAAAACAGUUUGAAAACCCUGUCUGCCCUUAAACUGGGCAAUUACUUGGGGAAAUAUUUUCGGAUGUAAGUGGAAUGUGGCUGGAAAGAUCAGAGACUAAUGGUCUCUCUGGUCUCUCAGUGCUGGUAAACAACUCCCAGCGAUGCUGCAAACGAGGCUCGGCUUAAGAUCUGCAGGGCUGCAUCUUUGGAAUAACUGAACAGUCUCUGCAGGAGACUAUUAGGGGGGCCAGCACUCGUUGCUAUGUAUUAACUUGCAUACGUUUGCAGAAAAAAUUUAGAUCUUUAAAUACUGAUGGAGCAUUUACCCCAUGGAAGUCGCUCAGCUAGAAAACGGAGAAAAUGCAGCACUGUCCCUGCCUGCCUUCAAGGAGCUCACGAAAUUAAUCUCUUCACCAUUGUAUCUUGCAUAUAUUUAUUUUUGGGUUCACGUAUUUCAAUACUGGCAUCCAGAAGAUGCACAGGAAACAACUCUGUUCCAAUGCAUCACCAUUUUCAUAAUGAGUGGGGAGAGGCCCCGAGGGUAAGAGGUCGACUUUUGGACAAGAGGAAGAUGAAUCUGUUCUCCUUGUCCCUCUGCUGCCUGAAUCACCUGAAGCAGACAGACCUGGACUUUGUUACAGACUAUGAGUUUGGCUGGGAAUUCAGCUGCACGUGAUGGAUCAUGCUUACCUUGCCUUCCCCCACCUGCAUGCCUCCCCUUGAAGAAGAUAAGCAUCUUUGGGAGCGAGAAUUUUUAAAUGAGAUUGUUUAUGCAUCAAGGAGUAAGUAUUAAUAGCUAAAGUGCAUUCAUAUGGUGAUUGUUUUCUGGUGAUGAGAAUGGGAAAUGUUAUUUCUCUAUUAAAUGAUGGAAGCCACUGGAUUAUGCAUUACAUGCUGAUGUGCCAGCUCUGUUUCUCUCUAUUCACAGUGAUGCUUUGAGUCUCAUUUUCAAACUAGACACCUCUGUAAAUUGACCUGAAUGUUCUGUGUGUACACGGGCAUUGACGCAGAGGGAAAACAGCGGUUGCUCAGCAAGCACGUUUCUUCUACUCUGGGAUCUGCAGUACAGGCAGUACUCUCUGCCAAGGUACGUUCUGGAGUCCUGUGCUUUGCCCAAGGUCCCCACCCUAUCAGGGACAUGGCAAGUGCAUCCAGGAAGGGGAGGGUCUGCAAAGUGAGUCACAGGGGCAACAGUGGAAGAAACCAGGGGUGUUUAGUACAAAGAGGCAAAAACUAGGGUACAUGUGAAAGUUGUCUUCAAAUACUUGAAUAAAGAAGUUCUGUACAGGAGGUUGACACUUGCUCUGUGCUACCCUGGAACACAAAACUAGAAUCAAAAGAGAGAUGAUUUCUGGUUCCACAAAAUAAUACAAUUUUCCUUUUUUUGCAGCAUCUAACUAUUCAUAAAGUCCUUUCAAAAACAUUGUCACCAGAAAGUAAUCUCCAUGACGAGAGGAGGUUCGCCUGAUUUUUGUUUUUCUUUUAGUAUCCACUGUUCCUGUGAUAGUGCUUGGCACAUAGGAACUGCUCAAUUCAUAUUGGCUGAAUAAAUGAAUGAAUGAGUUGGUUUCUAUGAGGGUUGAUGUGAUAAGCCCAUUUUGUGGAUGACAAAAAUUGAGAAGUUUAGAUAUGUAAAGUGGUUUCCUAAGCUCACCUAUGCUCCUGAACUAUCCUGAACCCAGGCCGCCUAAUAAGAGUCUACUGGCUUACUCAAAGGCUUAAUGAGCUUAGCUUUCUAUCAUAAAUUGGGCCAUCUCCAGUGGUAGUUGGCGAGCUCCUCAUCAGAUUUCGAACAGGCUUAUUUGCACCUCUGCUGCUGUUAUGACCCUGCAUCAGCUGGACAGUCAAGUUUUGAGGGGCUGGAUGAAUCACAGAUUGGCUGGCUUUCUUACUGCUGAGGCGAUUAAAAACAGCUUUUCACAUUUCAUUUUCUCCGUGUCUCCUCUCACCUCCCCUCCCUUUCUGUGUAUCUUCCAUUCUUCCCAGAUCUCUGAAAUGCCUCUGUCACACAGUUCCUCUCUCUCUCUCCUUGCCCCUCCAGUUGGGAGAAAAGCUGUUGUAUUACCCUGUUCACACAUUGCUAUAUAUAAAUACCUGAGACUAGGUAACUUAUAAAGAAAAGAGGUUUAAUUGGCUCAUGAUUCUGCAAGCUGUACAGGAAGCAUGGCUGGGGAGGCCUCAGGAAACUUACACUCAUGGCAGAAGGCAAAGCAGAGGAAGGCACAUCUUCGCAUGGCCAGAGCAGAAGGAAGAGAGAGAAGGGGGAAGUGUUACACACUUUUAAACAACCAGAUCUCAUGAGAACUCACUCACUAUCAUGAGAACAGCAAGGAGGAAAUCUGCCCCCAUCAUCCAAUCACUUCCCACCAGGUCCCACCUCCAACACUGGGGAUUACAAUUUGACAUGAGAUUUGGGUGGGGACACAGACCUAAACCAUAUCAGCUAUGUUGACUAAUCACUAAAACUUUAGCAAGCAGUAGUUUAACUCAUGACUUUCUCAGAGUUAUUUGCUUAUUUAAAGCACUGUAGAGAGAGCCCCAAAGGAAAAAUCUGUAAUGGUUGAGUUCCAGGCACCAUGAACCUUGGAGAAUGAACUCAUGUUGGAGGUGGAAGAGUGAUAUAAGAACCCUUCCAAAUGGCCCUGAAAUCACAGCAAUCAGACAACCCCACACCUCAUUUUUAAAAAGCCCACUCCCUUGAGGGCCUUCUUCCCUCUUGCCCACCUGGUUACAUCAUCCUACCCCAUAGCUUGAUCCCCAGUGUACCCAUCUAGACCUCCAGCUUUCUUACAAAGCUUAAAAAAACUUCCCUUGGUGGAGUGGUGAUGAGUAUGUUUUAGUGUAGAAAGAAACCAGAAAUAGAAAUUACUAAACACAAAUAUUUUAAAAAAUGAUUAAAGGUGUGGGGACUUUGUAGGUGUGAGAGAAAACAAAUCCAUGGUACUCCCAUUCCCAUUAGCAUCUCCAGAAAGCCUCAUUCACAUAGAGGCUGUCUAUGACUUGAAGGCCUCAUACCUGCUCACCUGGCCUUCAUCACUCACGCCAGGCACCACAGCUCUGGAGAGCCUCUUUCUCCAGUCGUAGGAGUCCAGGAAACCACACUCCUUUCCUUCUCAGUCAACGGCAUGGUCUCCAAAGAAUACGAAACGAUGGGAAUUUUGAUAAGCACCCAACAACAAGAAAAUAGCCAAUGGGCUCACUAAUAAGAAAGCAAGCCUUCUCCAGAAAAAUCUGUCUGCUUUACUUUCCCCUUAUCAAUAUUGCUCUGAGAGUUAAUUUGUCACUGUAUAGCCAGAAAGCUCACCCCCGUCUUUUUUAAUGUUUCACGCUAGGUUUGCCCAAUAAGAGUAAUAAAAAUAAUGACACCAUUAUUCCUCUUCUCUCUUUGUUUUUAGUGCAUCACUUGCAGAUUUGAAUAAUGAAUUAUGCUUACAUUAUCUGUACUUUCUUGCUCUUGACUUCCUCUACUGGCUAAAAGUGAAGCUAUUAUCCAAUUGUCAAAGACUGAGUAGCCUUCCCUGGCACAGUCAGUGAUCUUGUGAUGUAGAUACACUCUGGGGCAAAAUUAUCACAAGUACAAUUUCAAGCUAUAUAAGAGAAAAUUACCAGCCAGUGUGGAACUGAAUCCAGAACCUGGUGAAAUAUUAAAUAUUUCAUUAGUAAUCCUUUUGGAACAAAAAUAAGCAGACAACAGAAUUAGUUAUGAGUUGGGCAUAAAAGGCUAAUUAAUGUUAUUGUCUUUGGUUGAUUGACUUCAAGGCUAUUAAAUCAUUAUUUUAUUGUCUGAAUCUCUGCCUCACUCAGGCUAAAGAAGCCAUUUUAUCAGAAAAACUGUGUUUUUUCUUUCUUUCUUUUUUUUUUUAAACAAACAAACAAACAAAAACCAAAAAACUUCUGCUGCUUCUAAGGAGACUCAUUUGUGUGCCUGAACUUGGCUUCUUAUACAGUUGAGUUUGCAUCCCUGAAUAGAUCGUCCAGUAAAUUUUAGAUGAUAUAAAAUAUACAUCUGCCAUCAAGGAUAGAUUGAAAGUGGAUGGGACAACCACCCAGAGAGGUCAGCAACCACAUCUGGAAGGUACUGCAGAGGUCAUGUUGUCCAACACUUUGCACCAACGGGUGAGUGUACUGUAUACUUUUCAUCUACUUCGUCAUCUUCGUCGCCUUCAUCUCCUUCUGCCUCUUACAGAUUUCUGGCUCCAUGUUCCAUUCUAUAAUCCACCAUCCACAGAACCAAGCAAAAUAAUUCUCUGCCCACCUUAAACAAGCUCAUGCAAAAAUAUAUUAGAACCUAUUUGUGAUGACUGUCUUCAAGUAUUCACUCCCAAUUCCACAGGUGCCACUUAGUGAGGACUCAUGUUGAGGACCACGUGUCAACCUAAGCAUCCAAAGGAGAUUCUCGCAUCUUAGCCUGGGCCUGGUGUAUGACACCUCCAAGUGCAUUGGAAAAAAGGCUCCUUCUCUCUGUGCCAUUGCAGCCCACCACCAAUGAAUGUAUCCAGGCAAACAAAGUACAGAGUUAGAUUUCAGCACAACUUGUUGGCUUGACCAGACACACGUGAAUAGAGGACAACCUGAACCACCAUACACAGUGACCCAGGAUGGACUGUCUUUUGCUAGAGAUAACUCUCAACAAAGAUCUAAAGUGAGCAAAGCUCAUCUCAAGGAAUUUCCAUAUUUGCCUUCUUUUCCUUUCCUUUCCUUCUCUGACCAGCCUAUCUGUGCAGAUGCUAGAACUUAUUUUUCAGUCAGUAACUAAGAAGUACUCAAGGCUACUGGAUUAUGCAUGCCAUGCUGAUGUGCCAGCUCUGUUUCUCUCUACUCACAGUGAUGCCUGGAGCCUCAUUUUCAAUCUAGACACCUCUGUAAAUUGACCUGAAUGUUCUGUGUGUACACGGACACAGAGGAAAAACAGUGGUUGCUCAGAAAGCAUGUUUCUUUUUUAGGAUACCCUGAAAUCACAUCUUAUUAUAACAGGGAUUCCUUCAAAACAAGAAGACUUUGAAAUGCAAAGGGAUAAAUUUAAAUAGUGUAAUUCAGGUACCCCAUAAGGCAACGAAGGCUUUUUCAUGUAUUACUGAUUAAUCUUCUGUUGUCUGCCUUUGGAAGGUCCAUGGAAUAGGCAAAGCUCCUCUACCCUGGAU